rnacentral:rRNA from 1 species
UAUCUCUGUAGAGUCUGCAUAUCAAUAAGCGGAGGAAAAGAAACUAACUAGGAUUCCCUUAGUAACGGCGAGUGAAGCGGGAAGAGCUCAAAUUUGAAAUCUUCAAGGUUUCUACCUUGACGAAUUGUAGUUUAAAGAAGUGUUUUCUGUUGGUGUUUUGGUAAAAGUUCUUUGGAAUAGGACAUCAUAGAGGGUGAGAAUCCCGUAUUUGACCAUUAUUUCCAGCUUUGUGAUACACUUUCAAAGAGUCGGAUUGUUUGGGAAUGCAGUCCAAAAUGGGUGGUAAAUUUCAUCUAAAGCUAAAUACUUGGCGAGAGACCGAUAGCGAACAAGUACCGUGAGGGAAAGAUGAAAAGAACUUUGAAAAGAGAGUUAAACAGUACGUGAAAUUGUCAAAAGGGAAGCGUUUGACACCAGUGUUGUUUUCUCGAAAAUCAAUUAAAAAAGGCAGGAUUUUGUGUUGUAUUGACUUUAUCAGCUUUCUGCACUCUUUUCUUGUCUUUUUUAAUGCACUUUUCGUUUAACAAGUCAACAUCAAUUUCUUUUGUUGUAAAAGGGUCAUUGGAAGGUGGCUUUCUUUUCGGAGAAAGUGUUUAUAGCCUUUGGCCUCUGCAAUCGGAGAGAUUGAGGUCUGCAGCGUAGAUCCUUCGGGGUUAGAUACAUUUGUGCUAAGUUAUAGCCUUUCAUAGACAACUUGUUGACUAUGAUCAGUCAUGUAGCUUACUCGCCUAUGCUAUUUUACCUACGCUUAGGAUGUUGAAGUCAUCGUAUCGCGC